CCUGCUGAUGUGUAACCGCAACUUUUUAUAACACUUUUUAAUACAGUUAAUGAAGCAGAUGGCAUUGCAUCGACGAAUGCCAUUAUGACAUUUAAUGACGAAUGCAGUAUUUAAAAAAUAGAAAAAAAGGUUUUAUAAAAAAAAUAAAACAUAUUUGGGAUUAUUUUUCGGAUCAUAACAAACAUCUUUUUUCAUUUUCAGUAGAAAUAAUGUCCUACAUAGGGGGAAACAUGACCGUAAACACCGCUGUAGCCAACAUGAGAAUAAACUGGAUGAUGAGAGUAAACAACUUGGGGUUGAGCCUCGGGUUGUGGCAAGGCAAGGGCAAAAGCCACCAAAGCCAAGAAUACAAACUACAAAAAUCAAUUGUUUAUUAAUUACACUAAUAAAAUUAAAAAAUACAAUACUUACAAGUUUGAACAUUUUGAUAUGUAGUAGAUCUGCAAAAUCUAACAUAGAAAUUGGAAUAUUACGUCGGUUAUAUAAGACAUAAAACAGGUGUGUCGGGAAGAAUGACACACCUAGAGAUAUUAAUUAGGUCAAGUAUUGUUUUGGUUUCCUUUUUGUUUUUUCUAUAAAUUUUACUUUGUAAUUUUAUUGUUGCUAUAUUACGUAAAAAACUGCUUUUAUUGUUUUAGACCAAAAAUCAGAAACUGGUUUUGAGGCACAAAACAAGUGGUUCUGGGAUAGUUUGUUAAAUGUUUUUUCACAUUUUUUAUCUUUUCGUUUUAAGAUCAAUAAAACAAUUCAACGGUCAAA